CGAUUAAAAAAUAUUUCGUAUGUUUUAUGAUUCCUUGUAAAUACACAUGCAUGUAUAUUUAAGCAAAUGAUCAAAUUUUUCUCUUUAGACUUGUGUGUGUGAUUUAACACAAACAGUUCUAAAAUGUAGACAGCUUUAUCUCUUAUUCCAAAUUGAUGUUGGAGCUUCUUAUACACACACACACACACACCCACACACACACACACACACACUCCUCCAAAGAAAAAUUUGAUCACUUGCUCUGGUCUGUCUGAGGAGAUACUUGAUCUUUUGUUCCACUGAUCAUCUAGCCCCUAUUCCUUUAUUCAACAAUAAUUUACUAAGCAUCUUCUAUGUGGCACUGGCCUAAGUGCUGGGGAUUCGUCAUUAGAUAAAGCAGAUCAAGUUGCCUUGCCCUUGCCUGGGGGAACUUACACACUAGCUGGGGGUGGAAGAGAAUAAGAUGAAACAUAGCAUCACAUUGUAUAAUAUAUAAGAUGCUAAGAAAAUCUAUGAAAACAUGAGUCAAGGAAGAGAGUUAAGGACUUAGAGACAGAGAGGACAUUUUUAAAAUCUGGUCAGGAGGGGUCUCAUUCAAAAGAUGGCAUAUGAGUUAAAAGAAGGCAAGGAGGCAGAAUACAGUGAUGCCUGCGGAAAGAACACUGCAGGCAGAUAGGCGCCUGAGUGUUACGUUCUAGGAGAAGCAAGGAAGCCAGGGUAGCUGGGGAGCGAGGGCAAAGGGGAUAAGCAAGAGCUGAGGUUACACGGUGAGGGGUGUGCCCUGCAACACCUGCUGGCCAAUUUAAAGCUUUCCCCUAGAGAGGGAUGGAAAGCCACUGUGGAUGCUGAACUAGGGACAGAUGUCAACUCACUUGAGUUUUAACACAUAUUCCUCCAGAAUGGACCUCAGAGUGUCUCCUCUUAUAUGAAAAUCAGGAUCUCAAUUUAAACUUGAAGUUAUACAUCCACGUGGUAUUCCUUCACAAUUCAGCUUGUUUACAUUUACCGUCUGUUUUUCAUUAUAUUUUUUAACAGAAUUCCAGCCAAACAUUUAUUUCCAUGAACCGUUAAGCCCUUCCAUGGACUCACCAAACACACGCUGAUGGCUUCUACAUUUGAUGAGCUUACAGACUCUCCCGAAGCCAACAUUCUAGGGACCCUCAGUUUCAGGAUAUUAGACAUUUGGCCUUUCAUUUUCUUGCUAUGGGUAUUUAUGUCUGACUUCUUUAACCUGUUCUCUAGUUUUUAAGUUUUGUUUUUGCCUACCCUGCUAAUGCUAUCUUCUCAUUCUUCUAGCCAGCAGCUGUCUAGGGAUCCUGCUGGCGUCUGCUUCGGAUAUUACCUCCGAAUCAGUGGAGAUGAGAGUUAUUUGAUUAGCCACAAUUCAGGAUGGCGAGAAAUGAUGAGAUUUUCUUGUCACAUGAUAUGUUAUUUCAGAGUUUAAGGUGGGAUCCAUGCCAUUUGUAUUUCCUUGCUCCUGGACUUUUUGCAGAGCCAGAAGGAAAAUCAUCUUGAGGACAACAGCCAUUCCUAUAUUUUGUCAAAUUAUUAGUUCAAUUUGGCCAUCCCAGCAGAUGAGGAGAGAGGGGAGAAAAGAUCAAAGCCUUUGAGGCCAAAUAGUGAGAGACAUGAUGUUUCUAGAAACAAUGAGGGGGACCAAGAUUUGUGGGUCCCCAUGGGUCCCUCUGGGUAGCAGCCUCCAGGGAGCCUGGACCCUCCACACAGUGGCUUCUACCUCUGAGAGGACCACAGGGCACCCAGUGGAGCAGAAGCAGAGAAUCAUGAGAUCUGAAGGACCCAUCUUAGAGAAAAUGGUGGGUCACCUUGAAACCAUAGUUUCAAGGGCAUCCCACAGACUUGAUGCCGAACACAACCCUAGGAAUUUGGAUACUCAUGGGUAGGAUACAAAUGCCAGGAAUGUCUUAGAUUUAAUUUUUUACUAUUUGCUCCAAAUGGAGACCUGGAGAUGGACUUCAGAUGACUUAAAAAAUAAUAUGACCUGGUGUGUGUAAUGAAGAUAUAAAAAUUCAUGCUGAAUAGGGUCCACCAUUCCCUGGGCAUAAUAAACUUUAAAAUGAUU